CCUGCAGAAGCAAAGGAUAAGGAGUUUCCACAAUAUAAAAGACUCAUAUACCAGCCAGAGACACAGAGGAUGCCUAUUUCUAUCUUCCUCGGAAGCAAAGGGCAUCUAGUAUGGCAGUGAAAGCAUCCUUUAAAACUCAUAAAAAAAAAAAAAAAUGGAAAUUCUGGAGAAGAGUUAAGGGUACCAAAAUAUUUUAAAAACUACCACAGGCCAAAAAUAUGAUUAAAAAAU